rnacentral:rRNA from 1 species
UACGAAGGGUGCUAGCGUUGCUCGGAAUCACUGGGCGUAAAGCGCACGUAGGCGGCUUGUUAAGUCAGGGGUGAAAUCCUGGAGCUCAACUCCAGAACUGCCUUUGAUACUGGCGAGCUUGAGUCCGGGAGAGGUGAGUGGAACUGCGAGUGUAGAGGUGAAAUUCGUAGAUAUUCGCAAGAACACCAGUGGCGAAGGCGGCUCACUGGCCCGGUACUGACGCUGAGGUGCGAAAGCGUGGGGAGCAAACAGG